CAUUAAGAAGCUAUGAACCAGCAUUAGCCUUUUAAGCUAAAGAAAGAGGACUACACUCCUCCUUAAUGA
rnacentral:tRNA from 2 species